GUGACUCACUUCACUCACCUCAGUUCAGAAAUGCAAGCCCAGUUGUCUAGAGCCAAGGUCUCGAGGCUACUGCUGUAAUUCGAUCAGAUGAGCCCUACACAUAAAGGACUGUAUAUGAAGAGAAAAGCAAAGAAUCAUGAAGCUUGUCCCUCAAGAGUUGACUCAAUCCCUCUUUUAUUUCCAAGAACAAAAGGAGUCUACCUUUUGCCAAUAGCUAUCUGGGUAAAAACCAUUGAACCAGGCACCCUUGGAUUCCCAUGUUCUCUGAGAUGGCAAGCUGAGUAAAAGAAAU